UAGGGAAAGUUUUUCGGUGUAGGAUGAGACUAUAUAGUAUCAGCUAGUUGGUAAGGUAAUGGCUUACCAAGGCUAUGACGCUUAACUGGUCUGAGAGGAUGAUCAGUCACACUGGAACUGAGACACGGUCCAGACUCCUACGGGAGGCAGCAGUAGGGAAUAUUGCGCAAUGGGGGAAACCCUGACGCAGCAACGCCGCGUGGAGGAUGACACUUUUCGGAGCGUAAACUCCUUUUCUUAGGGAAGAAUUCUGACGGUACCUAAGGAAUAAGCACCGGCUAACUCCGUGCCAGCAGCCGCGGUAAUACGGAGGGUGCAAGCGUUACUCGGAAUCACUGGGCGUAAAGGGCGCGUAGGCGGAUUAUCAAGUCUCUUGUGAAAUCUAAUGGCUUAACCAUUAAACUGCUUGGGAAACUGAUAGUCUAGAGUGAGGGAGAGGCAGAUGGAAUUGGUGGUGUAGGGGUAAAAUCCGUAGAUAUCACCAAGAAUACCCAUUGCGAAGGCGAUCUGCUGGAACUCAACUGACGCUAAGGCGCGAAAGCGUGGGGAGCAAACAGGAUUAGAUACCCUGGUAGUCCACGCCCUAAACGAUGUACACUAGUUGUUGGGGUGCUAGUCAUCUCAGUAAUGCAGCUAACGCAUUAAGUGUACCGCCUGGGGAGUACGGUCGCAAGAUUAAAACUCAAAGGAAUAGACGGGGACCCGCACAAGCGGUGGAGCAUGUGGUUUAAUUCGAAGAUACGCGAAGAACCUUACCUGGGCUUGAUAUCCUAAGAACCUUUUAGAGAUAAGAGGGUGCUAGCUUGCUAGAACUUAGAGACAGGUGCUGCACGGCUGUCGUCAGCUCGUGUCGUGAGAUGUUGGGUUAAGUCCCGCAACGAGCGCAACCCACGUAUUUAGUUGCUAACGGUUCGGCCGAGCACUCUAAAUAGACUGCCUUCGUAAGGAGGAGGAAGGUGUGGACGACGUCAAGUCAUCAUGGCCCUUAUGCCCAGGGCGACACACGUGCUACAAUGGCAUAUACAAUGAGACGCAAUACCGCGAGGUGGAGCAAAUCUAUAAAAUAUGUCCCAGUUCGGAUUGUUCUCUGCAACUCGAGAGCAUGAAGCCGGAAUCGCUAGUAAUCGUAGAUCAGCCAUGCUACGGUGAAUACGUUCCCGGGUCUUGUACUCACCGCCCGUCACACCAUGGGAGUUGAUUUCACUCGAAGCCGGAAUACUAAACUAGUUACCGUCCACAGUGGAAUCAGCGACUGGGGUGAAGUCGUAACAAGGUAACCGUAGGAGAACCUGCGGUUGGAUCACCUCCUUU
rnacentral:rRNA from 1 species